rnacentral:rRNA from 1 species
UUUUGACCGUGCAAAGGUAGCGCAAUCACUUGUCUCUUAAAUAGAGACCUGUAUGAAUGGCUAGACGAGGGCUUAACUGUCUCCCCCUUCCAGUCAGUGAAAUUGAUCUAUCCGUGCAGAAGCGGGUAUAAUUAUACAAGACGAGAAGACCCUUUGGAGCUUAAGGUACAAGACUCAACCAUGUUAAACGACUCUACAAGAAGCACGAACUUAGUGGUGAAUGAAGUUUUACCUUCGGUUGGGGCGACCACGGAGGAAAAAGAAGCCUCCGAGUGGACUGGGUUAAACCCCUAAAGCCAAUAGAUACAUCUAUAAGCCGCAGAACAUCUGACCAAAAAUGAUCCGACUGAAAAGCCGAUCAACGAACCAAGUUACCCUAGGGGAUAACAGCGCAAUCCUCUCCCAGAAUUCCAUAUCGACGAAGGG